CGCCAUGUAAUAAACCAUCAAGCCGCCCCAUCAUAACCCAGCGAGGGUUCCGCGUGCUAUUUAUGCCACACACUCAAGACACCAAUUGUCAAGAAUUUUCCUGCAAACUGUCAUCUGUUACUGAAUGGGUUUGGAGCUGCAGUGAGGGCUUCGAGCGCGGAGAGAGACGCACGAACGCUGCCGAAAAAAGGCUUUUCAGCAAGAAGGGGACAAGAAGAAGAAUCUGACCAGGUAGAGGCGAAUGCGGGGGGAAUAUUAUGGGGGCUUCAUUUUUAUUCGCGUAAUCUUGCUGUUCCUUUGGAAAGGACGCGCGGCUGCGCGGCUUUGCUUGCUAUUAUCAGAGAAGAACAGGACGCUUGAAUUGUGGACAAACAGCAUCAAGCCCUGAAUGUAGUUGGAAGUGGGACGUGUCAUGCCAUCAACUAAAUAUUUGGCUCCACGGGGGGAAGCAGCGCGUCUGAAAUGCAGAUGACGCGCCUGGAGAUCCUCCGCGCGGCGCCGUCCGCACCGGUGGCGCAGCUUUCUUUUUGGUGUGUGAAGAGGAAGUAAGGAGAGAUGGGCAGGCUCGAAAGUUGACAGCUCAGCUGGUCAGGAGCUCGGGCCCAUCAGACACAGACGUCCGGUCCACGUGGAGUCCAGCAAGAACAAGCAGGCUAAACUGCGCUCCCCGGACUUGAGUCAGACUCAGAGACAGUUUGUGUUUUCAUCAUAAACGGGCACAAAGUCAGCGCUUCAGUUUGGAGACACAGCGACCCCACAGCAGCGCGGGGGAAACUGGAAGGAGCGGAUUCCAGCAUGUGGAGUAAAGCUCAAUCCCGCAUCCAGCAUGUGAUUCUCUAGAAAGAGGAAAGGCCUUUAAAUGCGAAAGAGGGAGAAACGGAGGGAUGCCGGGGGGAAGGCGGCUGUGCGCGCCGGACGGAGCGACCCCUCAGCCGGGGCGACCAGGCUGUCAUGAGGGAGGGGCCCUUCAGUAAUUCAGCAAGAAAUAUCACCCCCGACCGGAGCUUUGAUCAACGAAGUGUACCGAGGGAGGAAGAGGAGGAAGAGGAGGAGGGUAAGAGUCCGCUGUUCAGCUCUGCUGCUUGCAUCAUUUCUGCCUUUUUCCCCCCUCCUCUUUUUUUUAGGAAAAGGAAAGUGUAAACAGGUGCUGAUGUUCAUAAUAAGAGCCAUGGAUCAUUCUGACACAUGAACACGUUUCUUCUGUAAUAAAAAAAUCCAACUUCUGCGAAACGUC